rnacentral:rRNA from 1 species
UGCAGUCGAACGCACUCGACCUUCGGGUCACAUGAGUGAGUGGCGAACGGGUGAGUAACACGUGAGAAACCUGUCCCGAAGACUGGAAUAACCCGAGGAAACUCGGGCUAAUACCGGAUAUCCCCACCGGAUCACAUGGUCUGGUGAGGAAAUGCUCCGGCGCUUCGGGAGGGUCUCGCGGCCUAUCAGCUAGUUGGUGAGGUAACGGCUCACCAAGGCAACGACGGGUAGCUGGUCUGAGAGGACGAUCAGCCACACUGGGACUGAGACACGGCCCAGACUCCUACGGGAGGCAGCAGUGGGGAAUAUUGCGCAAUGGGCGAAAGCCUGACGCAGCCACGCCGCGUGCGGGAUGAAGGCUCUAGGGUUGUAAACCGCUUUAGGCAGGGAAGAAAAUGACGGUACCUGCAGAAUAAGGUCCGGCCAACUACGUGCCAGCAGCCGCGGUAACACGUAGGGACCGAGCGUUGUCCGGAUUUAUUGGGCGUAAAGAGCUCGUAGGCGGUUCGGUAAGUCAGGUGUGAAAGCUCGAGGCUCAACCUCGAGAUGCCACCUGAUACUGCUGUGACUUGAGUCCGGUAGAGGAGUGUGGAAUUCCUGGUGUAGCGGUGAAAUGCGCAGAUAUCAGGAGGAACACCAAUUGCGAAGGCAGCACUCUGGGCCGGUACUGACGCUGAGGAGCGAAAGCGUGGGGAGCGAACAGGAUUA